rnacentral:lncRNA from 1 species
CAUGAUCCUCAGGUAAGAAGGGUAAGGACCAAGGAGGACUGUGAUUUCCGAGUCUCCUAAAUCAUUGUCAAGUAGAAGGCCUUACUCUGUUAUUGUCCCAUAAUGUUCUUCCUCCUUGAGGGAGUGAAAUCCUUCAAAGUUGCCUGCAGCUCUCAGUGACCUGGGACCAGGCUGAGCCACAGAUCAACUCUCCCAGUCUUCCUAUUCUAUUAUUUAUGUGGCAUUUGACACCACUGAUCAUGUCCUCCUUGACAACAGCUUCCCUCGGAUGGAUUCUGAAAAGUGGUCUCUUGCAUCUUCUCUGACUUCUCUGACCAGAACUCUGCUUUGUCUUGUUUUCUCCUACCUUCCCUUCUGUCCCCAACACUGAACGGUAGUACUUUCUAAGGUUCUGUUCUUGGUCAUUUGUUGUAUCAGUCCACAUGCUCUUCCUCUGCAAUUUCAUCCUCCUCAUGGUUUAAACUACCCCUACAGACCUUUACCUCCCAAGUCAUUAUCUCUAAAGAACUGAGACCAGUCUUUGAGGCUCCAGACCGAGUGUGUCACUCCCUGCCCCUCCUUGCUCUCUUGAGAUCCUAUAGGUGUUCCAAAUUGAACACUUCUGGAACCAGGCAAUUUCAUCCUCCAGUUCUCUGCUCCUCCCUGAUUCUAAGUGAUUGGCAGCACACAGGCAGCCAGCCGGCACGUCCGAGGUGCAUUCUCCUCCCUGAUGCUCACUUUCCGUCUCUGCCUCCCUUCUCUCUGCCAAGCCCUCACUACCCUUGCCCUGACUUAGCUUUCAUCUUUCUCUUAUCUGCCCUAAGAGUCUUGGACUUUAUUUGUCUUUCUACUUAUUAAUAGAGUUUCCCAGAGCUAUUGGACUAGAAUACAAAUAUGAACUUAUUACUGCCAUAAUUAGAUUACUUUAGUGGUUUCCUGAUACUGUUAAAGAACUCAAAUCCUCCAGCCUGGUUAGAUCUCUCCUUAAUUUCUGCAGACCUUCUCCCAGGAUGCACAGCGGCCUUUAUUCCAAACAUCAUAUUUUAAGCCCCAUUCAUGCCAGCCCCAAAUAUCUUGAUGUUAUAUGUCCCGUAAGAAUUUAUUUUUCACUUUUCCUUCUUCCUCUUCUGACCAUGUCCUGGCAACCCCUGAAUGUCACUCCCUCUCUGUGUACCUGAAGAACACCUCUUCACCAUCAGGAGUCUGAUCCUGGAUUCUCUGAAUCCUUCCCUCAUUGUCCCACUCCUUCCUCUCCCUCCAGGUGGAAUAAUGCAGUUUUCCUUGACAAACUCAGUAUCCUAUGUAGACUGCUGUUAGAAUACUUCUAAUUUUUUAUUGCCCAAUUUUUGUUUAUAGAAUCCCGUAUUAGUUUUCUUCACAAACCUAGAAAUAAGGAUGAUCAUCAUGUAUCUAACACUGUGUCCCAGGUACUAUGGAAAGCACUUUUGUCACACAGACAGCUAAGUGGCUGAAAGAGGUUUUGUAUCUAUUUGUUCUGACUCUAAAACUUAUGAAUUGAAUCACUGUACUUUACUACCAAUAUCUAGUAUUUAACAGGCGCUUAGUAGGUGCUUGCCAGAUGAAUUUAAUGAGAUUAGAUGCUUGGAAAGGUGGGCUGGAUGCCAUACCUGUCAAGGAAAAACAAAGCUAGG